CUUAGGGGUUAUUGCGGCGGGCUCACUCUUCCCAUCCCGAACAGAGAAGUUAAGCCCGCCUGCGCAGAUGGUAC
rnacentral:rRNA from 1 species